rnacentral:rRNA from 1 species
UACAACGGAGAGUUUGAUCCUGGCUCAGGAUGAACGCUAGCGGGAGGCCUAACACAUGCAAGUCGAGGGGUAACAGUGGUGCUUGCACCAGCUGACGACCGGCGCACGGGUGCGUAACGCGUAUGCAACCUUCCUUGUACAGAGAGAUAGCCCAUGGAAACGUGGAUUAAUAUCUCAUAGUAUCACAAUUUCGCAUGUUAUUGUGAUUAAAGUUUCGGCGGUACAAGAUGGGCAUGCGUAUGAUUAGCUAGUUGGCGAGGUAAAGGCUCACCAAGGCAACGAUCAUUAGGGGUUCUGAGAGGAUUAUCCCCCACACUGGUACUGAGACACGGACCAGACUCCUACGGGAGGCAGCAGUGAGGAAUAUUGGUCAAUGGGCGCAAGCCUGAACCAGCCAUCCCGCGUGCAGGAUGACGGCCCUAUGGGUUGUAAACUGCUUUUGUUUGCCAAGAAAGGACGCUACGUGUAGCGUAUUGACGGUAGCAAAUGAAUAAGGACCGGCUAACUCCGUGCCAGCAGCCGCGGUAAUACGGAGGGUCCAAGCGUUAUCCGGAUUUAUUGGGUUUAAAGGGUGCGCAGGCGGAUCUUUAAGUCAGUGGUGAAAUCUUGCCGCUUAACGGUAAAAUUGCCAUUGAUACUGAAGAUCUUGAAUGUAGUUGAGGUAGGCGGAAUGUGUUGUGUAGCGGUGAAAUGCAUAGAUAUGACACAGAACGCCAAUUGCGAAGGCAGCUUACUAAGCUACGAUUGACGCUGAGGCACGAAAGCGUGGGGAGCGAACAGGAUUAGAUACCCUGGUAGUCCACGCCGUAAACGAUGAUCACUCGCUGUCUGCGAUACACUGUAGGCGGCUGAGCGAAAGCAUUAAGUGAUCCACCUGGGGAGUACGAUCGCAAGGUUGAAACUCAAAGGAAUUGACGGGGGCCCGCACAAGCGGAGGAACAUGUGGUUUAAUUCGAUGAUACGCGAGGAACCUUACCUGGGCUUAAAUGUAGACUGCAUAAGGUAGAAAUACUUUUUCCCUUCGGGGCUGUUUACAAGGUGCUGCAUGGUUGUCGUCAGCUCGUGCCGUGAGGUGUCGGGUUAAGUCCCAUAACGAGCGCAACCCCUAUCGUUAGUUGCUAGCAGGUAAUGCUGAGGACUCUAGCGAGACUGCCACCGUAAGGUGAGAGGAAGGUGGGGAUGACGUCAAAUCAGCACGGCCCUUAUGUCCAGGGCUACACACGUGUUACAAUGGUCGGUACAAAGGGCAGCUACCAGGCAACUGGAUGCCAAUCCCUAAAGCCGAUCCCAGUUCGGAUUGGAGUCUGCAACCCGACUCCAUGAAGUUGGAUUCGCUAGUAAUCGGAUAUCAGCCAUGAUCCGGUGAAUACGUUCCCGGGCCUUGUACACACCGCCCGUCAAACCAUGGAAGCUGGGGGUACCUGAAGUAUGUGACCGCAAGGAGCGUCCUAGGGUAAAACUGGUAACUGGGGUUAAGUCGUAACAAGGUAGCCGUACCGGAAGGUGUGGCUGGAACACCUCCUUUCUG